AGAGUUUGAUCCUGGCUCAGGGUGAACGCUGGCGGCGCGCUUAAUGCAUGCAAGUCGAGCGAGCCUUACUCGCUUCGGUGGGUAAGGAAAGCGGCGGACGGCUGAGUAACGCGUGAGAAACCUACCCUCCGGUGGGGUAAAACGCCGAGAAAUUGGCGCUAAUACCGCAUACGGUCCCGCCGCCCCGGCGGCGGGAAGAAAGAUUUAUUGCCGGAGGAGGGUCUCGCGUCCUAUCAGGUAGUUGGUGGGGUAACGGCCUACCAAGCCGAUGACGGGUAGCUGGUCUGAGAGGAUGGCCAGCCAGGAAUUNCCGGNGNAGCGGUGAAAUGCGUAGAUAUCGGGAGGANCACCAGUGGNGAAGGNGNCNUUNUGGGCUGUUCNUGNCGNUGAGGCGCGAAAGCGUGGGUAGCAAACCGGAUUAGAUANCCGGGUAGUNCACGCCCUAAACUAUGGAUGCUAGGUAUGGGGGGUAUCGACCCCCCCUGUGCCGCAGCUAACGCGAUAAGCAUCCCGCCUGGGGAGUACGGCCGCAAGGCUAAAACUCAAAAGAAUUGACGGGGGCCCGCACAAGCGGUGGAGCGUGUGGUUUAAUUCGAUGCUAAGCGAAGAACCUUACCAGGGCUUGACAUGUUGGUAGUAGAAACCCGAAAGGGCAACGACCCGCUUCGGUGGGAGCCUUCACAGGUGCUGCAUGGCUGUCGUCAGCUCGUGCCGUGAGGUGUUGGGUUAAGUCCCGCAACGAGCGCAACCCUCGCCGCUAGUUACUCUCUCUAGCGGGACAGCCUCCCACAAGGAGGAGGAAGGUGGGGAUGACGUCAAGUCAGCAUGGCCCUUACGCCCUGGGCUACACACACGCUACAAUGGUCGGUACAAUGGGUUGCCAAAGCGCGAGCUGGAGCCAAUCCCAUCAAAGCCGGCCUCAGUUGGGAUCGCAGGCUGCAACCCGCCUGCGUGAACGUGGAAUCGCUAGUAACCGCAGGUCAGCACACUGCGGUGAAUACGUUCCCGGGCCUUGUACACACCGCCCGUCACGUCAUGGAAGCCGAGAACACCCGAAGUCGUUGAGCUAACCCGCAAGGGGGGCAGGCGCCGAGGGCGGGCUUGGUGACUGGGACGAAGUCGUAACAAGGUAGCUGUACCGGAAGGUGCGGCUGGAUCACCUCCUUU
rnacentral:rRNA from 1 species